AUGGGCGACUGGAUUAUAGGAGCGUUGAUCAAUAUUGUGGGUAGUGUUGCCAUAAACUUUGGUACUAAUCUUCUCAAAUUGGGCCAUGAUCAGAGAGAAAAGCUCUACUCAAGUAACAAUCAAGGCGAUGGCAAAUUCGUCCCAAAAUCAGUUAUGUAUUUUCAGACUUGGAGAAUAGGUAUACUCUUUUUCGCUGUGGGGAACUGCCUAAACUUCAUGUCCUUUGCAUAUGCCGCACAGUCACUUCUUGCAGCUCUUGGAUCAAUUCAGUUUGUAUCCAAUAUUGCAUUUGCCUACGUUGUGUUGAACAAGACCAUUUCAGUGAAGGUCAUGGUAGCCACAACUUUUAUUGUCUUUGGCAAUGUCUUCUUAGUUUCCUUCGGCAAUCACCAAUCUCCUGUUUAUACUCCGGAGCAGCUGAUUGCGAAAUACAGCAACUUGGUCUUUGUUCUCUAUUGUAUGUCAUUGGUCUUUGUUGUUGCACUCAGUCAAUAUCUCUAUAGGAGUGGAGAGACAAUUCUUUCAGAUAAUGCAAAAGAUACUAGCACACAUUGGCGAACACUGCUGCCCUUUUCUUACGCUAUUGUAUCUGGUGCCAUUGGAUCUUGCUCCGUCUUGUUUGCGAAAUCAUUGUCUAACAUGCUGAGGCUGACCAUGAGCAGCAGAUACCAAUUCCACAGCUGGUUCACAUACUCAAUUCUUCUGUUAUUUCUCUGUACAGCUGGAUUUUGGAUGGCGAGACUGAAUGAAGGACUGUCUCUGUUUGAUGCAAUACUGAUUGUCCCAAUGUUUCAGAUUGCAUGGACUUUCUUCUCUAUUUGUACAGGAUUUGUUUACUUUCAAGAGUAUCAAGUGUUUGAUACACUCAGGAUAAUAAUGUUCAUGCUGGGCAUGACAUUUGUCUUCAUAGGCAUAUCCUUGCUAGCACCUGAUGAAAAUAAAGUAGCUGACACCAAAGAUGGCUCUAACGCCACAAAGGACGCGGCAAUUGAUAUGAACAGUGAAGCACAUGUAUCAGGAAAUUGCAGGCCAAGAAAGUUGCCGAUGGAGGAGACGGAAGUAGAUGAUAUGGACUCACUCUCAACCUCAGUAAAAGUGAAAGCAAAACGCAUAUUGUCGAGAGCAAAGUCGGCUUGCUCCAUGUCACUUGGCCUUGGGGAGGAGACCAUCAGCGCUUCUUCGGUGCUUGCAAUGCCAAUGGUUUCCUCGAGAACAACAGGGUUUAGGGGAAUUCAAACUGACCGAUCAAAGUACAUUCCCCUGCGGUCCACUGAUUGGGAUAAUCUAUAG
rnacentral:rRNA from 1 species